rnacentral:lncRNA from 1 species
AGAAACAAGUCCUCGAGGCUUGGCAAAGCGGGAGCCUUCCGCGGCAGAGCUUGGGUGUCCGGGCUCUGAGGCUCCGGUCUGACCUCUCCACGGGGUCGACGGGAAUGUCUCCGGAUGCCAGGAGUUGCAAAGGGCAGACCUAGAUGAGGAAACCCCAGGCAGAGUCCUGGGGAAGCAGCACGGCAUCCGAGCCUCAGGCUUGCCUGGACGGUGUUGGUUGGGGUAAGAUUGGGGAAGAUGCCAGGUGAUAGAAUCCACCCUGCCUCUGACAGCAUCCAAUCUGGAGCAAAGGCUUAUUUCAACCCUCCCCCAAGCUCCCAAUACAAGCCCAAAUUCUGGAACAGGUCCUUUCCAACACCUCCUUCAGAGAAGCUCCCUGGCUCCAGGCAGUGCUUGCUCCCCUCACUGCAGCAGGAAGCCUAACUUGCGAACUGCAGGUGUGCUCCAGGUGGUCACUGGAUGCAAGGCAUUGACAGAUGGAUCCCAUCGAUACCCCCACUGCAAAACCAUAGUGCAGUGAAUAGAAGACACUUCUCUGCACCCCAAAAGCUCCAUGCUGAUUGUGAGAAGGAAAUGCUGGAUGGAGGGGUUCCUGGAACUACUGUGAGGGUUUCUUUUGAUUUCUCCUGCUUAGAAAUGGUGAGAGAACUUUGGAUGUGGAACGUGGAGGAGGAGGAACACGAAGUGGGGAUCUCCACUUGGGGUGGUCAGCACUGCGGGUGCCCAGCAAAGUCACUGCCUGGUCCACAUCCCGGAGGGGUCUCUGCGCCUCAGUCGGCAUCGCAGCUGAUGGUGAAACUUUUGGUGUGGCAGAAGAGUGUCCACAAACUUCGGAAGAUCGCUGCUCAGAGUGAGGAAUGGAGUUGUGUUUUGAAUAAAAUAUCCACGCAUCCUUUUGUGAGCAAGGAGCAUGAUGGUA